rnacentral:rRNA from 1 species
UACGGAGGGUGCAAGCGUUGUCCGGAAUCACUGGGCGUAAAGGGCGCGUAGGCGGCUCAUGAAGGCUGUGGUGAAAGUCCGGGGCUCAACCUCGGAUCGGCCGUGGCGACUCGUGGGCUGGAGCACUGUAGAGGCGGGUGGAAUUUCGGGUGUAGCGGUGGAAUGCGUAGAGAUCCGGAAGAACACCAGUGGCGAAGGCGGCCCGCUGGGCAGUGGCUGACGCUGAGGCGCGACAGCGUGGGGAGCAAACAGG